AUGGGAGAGAUGAGGAGAUGGGAGGAGGAAGGAAGGAACGGGGAGGGACUCACCGACGCGGUGGCACUCGCCGGAGGCUGGCUGGCGGCAGGGUCACACGAAAACGGCGGCACGCGUGUGGCACCCUCCCCGGCGGCGCGAGCAGGAAGGAGGAGGUGCACAGGAGGCGUAGGUGCUACGGUGAGAUGGGCUUCAGAUGUGCAGCCGGCCCUAGCGCUGCAACUUCUGCAUCAGAGAAGGUACAUUGGUGAAAUGCAGCAACCAGAUAAAAGAAAUGCAUUACUCCAUCACCACACUGAUGCUCCAUCUCCCUCUGAUGGCAAGUGCGACCCUGAUGAAGCUGCUCCCCUACAUCAAGGACUACCCCAACAGUGCGGCCUUGAUGGCACAACUCCCAUACACCAAGGACUAGCCCCAUGGUGCGGCCACGACAUCACUGCUCCCCUACACCGCCGACUACAACCUGAGAUCUUAGAACAGGUUUGCAGGUUCAUUGGAACAAAUGUUCAAAAGGAAGAUGCACAGUAA
rnacentral:rRNA from 1 species